UCGAGCGAGAAGUAUUUUUAGCUUGCUAGAAAUACCCAAAGCGGCGAACGGGUGAGUAACACGUUGGCAUCUGCCUCUAAGUCAGGGAUAGCCCAUCGAAAGAUGGAUUAAUACCGGAUAGUCUCUUAGGAGUAAAGAAUUUCGCUUAGAGAGGAGCCUGCGGUCUAUCAGCUAGUUGGUGAGGUAAAAGCUUACCAAGGCUAUGACGGAUAGCUGGUCUGAGAGGACGACCAGCCACAAUGGAACUGAGACACGGUCCAUACUCC
rnacentral:rRNA from 1 species